rnacentral:rRNA from 1 species
GAUCCUGCCAGAGGCGACCGCUUUUGGAGUUCGAUUAAGCCAUGCGAGUAGAAUGAAUUAGAUUCAUUGCAAACUGCUCAGUAACACGUGGAUAACCUGCCCUAUGCUCUGGGAUAACCUCGGGAAACUGAGAAGAAUACCGGAUAGACCACAACGCCUGGAACGGUGUGUGGUUGAAAGGUCACGGCAUAGGAUGGGUCUGCGGCGUAUCAGGUCGUAGGGGGUGUAACGGACCUCCUAGCCAUCGACGCGUACGGGUUGUGGGAGCAAUAGCCCGGAGAUGGAUUCUGAGACACGAAUCCAGACCCUACGGGGUGCAGCAGGCGCGAAAACUUCACACUGCAGGAAACUGUGAUGAGGGAACUCCAAGUGACUGCACAUUGUGUAGCCUUUUCUUUACUAUUAAUCGGUAUUGGAAUAAGGGCUGGGAAAGACCGGUGCCAGCCGCCGCGGUAAUACCGGCAGCUCAAGUGGUCGUCGCUUUUAUUGGGCCUAAAACGUCCGUAGCCUGUUUGGUAAAUCUGUGGGUAAAUCAACCCAGCUUAACUGGUUGAAUUCUGCAGAGACUGCCAGACUAGGGACCGGGAGAGGUGUGGGGUACUCUAGGGGUAGGGGUAAAAUCCUGUCAUCCUUAGAGGACCACCAGUUGCGAAGGCGCCACACUGGAACGGAUCCCGACGGUCAGGGACGAAGCCUAGGGGCACGAACCGGAUUAGAUACCCGGGUAGUCCUAGGUGUAAACGCUGUGAACUUGGUGUCGGGAGUCCGCAAUGGGCCCCCGGUGCCGGAGUGAAGAUGUUAAGUUCACUGCCUGGGGAGUACGGUCGCAAGGCUGAAACUUAAAGGAAUUGGCGGGGGAGCACCACAAGGGGUGAAGCCUGCGGUUCAAUUGGAGUCAACGCCAGAAAUCUUACCCGGAGAGACAGCAGAAUGAAGGUCAAGCUGAAGACUUUACCAGACAAGCUGAGAGGUGGUGCAUGGCCGUCGCCAGCUCGUGCCGUGAGAUGUCCUGUUAAGUCAGGUAACGAGCGAGAUCCCUGCCUCUAGUUGCCACCAUUACUCUCAGGAGUAGUGGGGCGAAUUAGCGGGACCGCCGCAGUUAAUGCGGAGGAAGGAAGGGGCCACGGCAGGUCAGUAUGCCCCGAAACUCUGGGGCCACACGCGGGCUGCAAUGGUAACGACAAUGGGUUUCGAAUCCGAAAGGAUGAGGUAAUCCUCAAACGUUACCACAGUUAUGACUGAGGGCUGCAACUCGCCCUCACGAAUAUGGAAUCCCUAGUAACUGCGUGUCAUUAUCGCGCGGUGAAUACGUCCCUGCUCCUUGCACACACCGCCCGUC